UACGAAGGGGGCUAGCGUUGCUCGGAAUCACUGGGCGUAAAGGGUGCGUAGGCGGGUCUUUAAGUCAGGGGUGAAAUCCUGGAGCUCAACUCCAGAACUGCCUUUGAUACUGAGGAUCUUGAGUCCGGGAGAGGUGAGUGGAACUGCGAGUGUAGAGGUGAAAUUCGUAGAUAUUCGCAAGAACACCAGUGGCGAAGGCGGCUAACUGGCCCGGUACUGACGCUGAGGCACGAAAGCGUGGGGAGCAAACAGG
rnacentral:rRNA from 1 species